rnacentral:rRNA from 1 species
CCUACGGGCGGCUGCAGUGAGGAAUAUUGGGCAAUGGGGGCAACCCUGACCGAGCAACGCCGCGUGGAGGAUGACGGUUUUCGGAUUGUAAACUCCUUUUCUCAGGGAAGAGCGAGGACGGUACCUGGGGAAUAAGUCACGGCUAACUACGUGCCAGCAGCCGCGGUAAUACGUAGGUGGCAAGCGUUAUCCGGAAUUACUGGGCGUAAAGCGCACGCAGGUGGCUGCUUAAGUCUGACGUGAAAGCUCCUGGCUUAACUGGGAGAGGUCGUUGGAGACUGGGCGGCUUGAGGCGAGGAGAGGGGUGUAGAAUUCCCGGUGUAGUGGUGGAAUGCGUAGAGAUCGGGAGGAAUACCAGUGGCGAAAGCGGCACCCUGGCCUUGGCCUGACGCUCAGGUGCGAAAGCGUGGGGAGCGAACGGGAUUAGAUACCCGAGUAGUC